UGGUGGAGUGAUUUGUCUGGUUAAUUCCGUUAACGAACGAGACCUCAGCCUGCUAACUAGUCACAGGAAUGUUCGCAUUCCUGGCAGACUUCUUAGAGGGACUACCAGGGUCGCACCUGGUGGAAGUUUGAGGCAAUAACA
rnacentral:rRNA from 1 species